rnacentral:rRNA from 1 species
GAUGAACGCUGGCGGCGUGCUUAAUACAUGCAAGUCGAGCGAACAGAUGAGGAGCUUGCUCCUCUGACGUUAGCGGCGGACGGGUGAGUAACACGAGGAUAACCUACCUAUAAGACUGGGAUAACUUCGGGAAAGCGGAGCUAAUACGGGAUAAUAUAUUGAACCGCAUGGUUCAAUAGUGGAAGACGGUUUUGCUGUCACUUAUAGAUGGAUCCGCGCCGCUUUGGCUAGUUGGUAAGGUAACGGCUUACCAAGGCAACGAUGCGUAGCCGACCUGAGAGGGUGAUCGCCCAACUUGGAACGGGAACAGGCACAAGACUACUACGGGAGGCAGCAGAAGGGAAUCUUCCGCAAGGGGCGAAAGCCUGACGGAGCAACGCGGCGGGAGUGAUGAAGGUCUUGGGAUCGUAAAACUCUGUUAUUAGGGAAAAACAAAUGUGUAAGUAACUAUGCACGUCGUGACGGUACCUAAUCAGAAAGCCACGGCUAACUACGUG